rnacentral:rRNA from 1 species
CUGAACUCAGACGUGAUUACCCGCUGAACUUAAGCAUAU